GAUUUCUGGUUUGAUGUACCUGUCCCGCUGCGGUAACGCAUGUGAGUGACGGAGUAUGUCUGCCAUCCUUCUAGAGAACACAAGCUAUCCUUUACUGGACCGGUUUGUGUCAUCUAGAUCUUUUACUUUGAAAAAAUUAGAGUGUUUCAAGCAGGCGUUUUGCUAUGAAUACAUUAGCAUGGAAUAAUGAGUUAGGACUUCGGUUCUAUUUUGUUGGUUUCUAGGACUGAAGUAAUGAUUGAUAGGGAUAGUUGGGGGUGCUAGUAUUCAGCGGCCAGAGGUGAAAUUCUUGGAUUCGCUGAAGACUAACUUAUGCGAAAGCAUU
rnacentral:rRNA from 1 species